rnacentral:rRNA from 1 species
CACGUAGGGCGCAAGCGUUGUCCGGAAUUAUUGGGCGUAAAGAGCUCGUAGGCGGACUGUCACGUCCGCUGUGAAAAGCUAGGGCUUAACCCUGGCCUUGCAGUGGAUACGGGCAGACUAGAGGUAGGUAGGGGAGAAUGGAAUUCCCGGUGUAGCGGUGAAAUGCGCAGAUAUCGGGAAGAACACCCGUGGCGAAGGCGGUUCUCUGGGACGGUACUGACGCUGAGACGCGAAAGCGUGGGGAGCGAACAGG